CUAAAAUAUUGACAUAAGCUGCUUUCACAAACUUGUAUUCCCCAGGGGCAAUAAUCAGGCCUCAUUUGCUGCUUUUCUGUCAUCUUGUGCAGGGUUAUACUCAUAUCUCUGAAACUGUUUUUUGUCUCUGCAAAAUAAAUGAGUGAUGCUACACUAGGUCCACCUCAAAAUGGAUGCUGAUGGAUAGAGCUCAAUGCAUUAACUUUGAUGGUGCAGAAACAUAUCAAGGGACUCUCUUUAUGUCUUUUGAAAUACAUUUUCAAUUUUCAGGUUAUUUUGCUACCCUCAAUGUACUUUCUUUUAACUUACACCAUUACCUAGAGUAUAAAGCCUUUUUAUACUACUCUAUUACUAGUAACUUUCAUGUGUUUGAAGAUGGUUAUAACAUUUUUCUCAUUGAACUCCUUGCUAAUCAAUUAAUAAGAAUAGAGUAAAAUAUUUAUUCAAAACCACUCAGACUCCCAGUGAGCAAAGAUGCAGAAAAAAAGAAUAAUAGAAGAAAGCAUGGAGUAAGGCAUUAUUCAAAGGUAAGACUGGCCAAAUUCUGCCCUAAGAAGUGUCUGCUUUGUCAAUUAUUUCAGUCUAUUCAUCUUUCAAAAACAUUAGUACAUACAAUGUUUGGAUAAUGACAAAUGAGAUCAAAGAUGGACUAAUCAAGUAAUAAGUGUUAAAUGAAAAUGCAAUAGGAAAGUGUGUGAACUAAUUUUAAUAGACACUAGUUUUCUGGUUUGGGUUAUUUCUUGUUCUUCAGUUGCAAGAAUCAUUUUGUUCUACCAAAAUGAUUUUUCUUGAGACUGGUGACAGUCUCAUUUUUCACUAUCAAGUAACUCUGCAUUAUCAAUUACAUUGUAUCUUAUUACAAAGCUGUCUGUUCCAAUGCUCCACUAUGAUAUUGUUAGGGGGAAAUAGCAUCACAGAAAUCUUUCAGAAAUGAAAGAUUCACUUCUUUAAUAACAUUUCUAUAAAUAUACUAUCAGAAUGUAGUAUGUCAAAGGCAAAUCAUUUUGACUAAUAAAAGCUGAUAUAACUGGGAGCGUGGGGGAAGGGCACAAAUAUAGAUAUAGUAGGCAAGUCUUCAGUUCCUCUAUGUACUUUGACUCUAGAAGGCCAAAAGAUGGGUAAAAGGGGUAGCUAACUCUGAAGGUGCUCACAACCUCUACGUUUUGGCAGUCCCCAAGUCACAAAAUGGAACUUGAAGCUGCAUGAGUUUAUAUCGACUCUCAGCCUUACUCAGACCUUUGCUUACCCCAACAUUGAGGUCUGAUAUCCAAAUCUGAGAGAUUAAAUGUGACGUAUACAUAAAAUAAAAGGCUUAUGAUCUUCACCAUUCUUAAAUGUUUGUAUAAGUCAUAUCCAUAUCCACAAUACUUCCUGAGUUAUAACUGCUCACUUUCCCAUGCUAUGAUUUCCGUGUUUCCUACAAAUGAGGUUGAGAAUCUUUUAAGGGUGCUGAUUUUCACUUAGCUCUGAGGAUUUUACUCUAUCUGCAUUUAUGUGGGGAUAGUUAUCACUGGCAAAGAGCCAGAAGCAAAGCCAAACCAGUGUGCCCAGAAUAGGAAAUAUUGUUGCUGUUACAUAGUUGCCCAUAAAUCUGUCCCAUUUUGUACCUCAUAGAGAACCGUGGUUUUUCAUUAUAAAAUAUUAGCUCCAAAUAAAUUCAAACAAUCUUUUUUCCCUUCCCCCAAAGUUCAAAGCAUAGUGCUAGCACUGUUAGACCUACUGCCUUCUGUAGUACUACUGACUCACCUACCCAUCUCAGUCUAGCUCAUGGAAGACAGUGUGAAUCUCAAGCACCUCCAUUACAUUUCCAUUAGGUUCUUUAGUGACAUAUGAAAUCACAUUAGGCUUUGCUCUGACUGAAAUAUGUAAUUUCUUUUUUUUUUAACCAGGCGUGGAUAUUUCCAUAAGAAACAGCUAUUUUUAUGACUGAUUUCAUUUCUCCAGACACCCAGCCAUGUUGUCACUUGUAAGUGACGUACUUGGAAGAUUUUCAAUCAUAAAGAUCAGAACGCUGUUUUUGGAAAGACUUCGAUUUCUGUAACCAUUAUUGCACUGUGCUAAGAGACUAUGCUUAAUGUAUUGCAGUCAAGUUUGAUAGAAAUUAAAAGUAUUUCUUAAAAAUUACUGUUAAAUUAAUAUGCCUUCACCAGUGCUAUAAGUCAGUGAAUGCUUUCAUAUUUAUGUUUCCCAUUAAAGUCAGUGAAAAUUUCUCAGGUCUUUUAGCCCUUACCCUUAAACUAGAUUCUAUCACAGUUCAGUAUUCUUGAUUGUGUAUCCUAUACAACAUAUAUAAUGUGCCUCAUUAAUGCCAUAACAUACUACAAAAUAUCUGUAUAUUAUAACAUGCUAAAUGGACAUAAGCAACAAUUUAUAUCAAAUUCAUAUAAGGCAAAUUGCUAUCUGUGUAAGAACUAUAAAACUCAUUAUGCAUAAAAAAGACAGGCAUGCUCAACUGACACCCUGGAAAAAAUAAGGAUCAAAAUAACCUCUCACCAAAAGCUGCAACUCAUACAUUUAUCAUUUAAAAAACUGCAUAUCAGUAUUAACUUGACAAGGUCCAAUUGUGAGAUAAAGUUAUCUUUCCACUUAAAAGUAGAAUAACAAGAAUGAAAGGCAAUAACAACUUGUAUUUAUUUACUAAAUUUGUGUUUAAAUUGCCUCAGUAUUAUCUGUCAAAAUGCAUAAAACAACAUGAUUUGAUAAGAUAAAUUCCUUGUACCUGAUGGAUCCAGCUUGAGCAAGCUAGUUGUAUUACUACAACUGUUCAUUUGAUGACAUAAUAUAACCUGACAAAAGUCAUCUUGAUAGAUGACAAAUAGGCUUUUUACUAAGCCGAGUAACUCUUUAAAGCUAGUAUGAAAGGCAUUUUAUCUUGGGGCUUCUCCUGAAUACUGCAGAGCAAGUAAUAAUAGGUACGGUAUUAGCGGCAUUCAUUUUGUUCACUGAUUUUAAGUUUACACAUUGAAAUCAAGAAGUAAUAAAUACUGGAAUUUUUGGCAUUUGGACAUUCCCUGGAAAACUCAAGAAUUGUUAAGUACUUUCAGAAAAGAAAUAGAGAGAACAUGCAUCUCACUAGUUACUGGCUGUAUGUUACAUCUCUUGUUAAGAUAGCCUGCCUAUCUGGAGAGAUCAUUACUGAUUCAAAGACCAGAAAAAUAUAAAAAAGGAAGACAGGUUCCUGAAAAAGGUGUUGGAUCUGGAUCUAGUAAAACAUGAAAGAUUUGUUACAAGUAUUACAAGUAUUUCAAACGGAAAGCUGCAGAUCUGUGACAAAGAAUGCAGGCCACACCUAAAGAAGAAGAAACUCGUCUAUCCUAGGAUGCAUUCAUUCUGUUACAAACACGGAAAAUCAGUAAUUAAAAGAACAUAAGUUUGUAGUGAAAUGAGCACCGAAGAGAUUUAGAUGAUUCUUAGAAAUAAUAAGCACAAAAAUAUCAAACAGGAAGAAACAGGUUAUAUUGUCUCAGUGCUGUGAACUCCGUAAACCACUCCAAAAUACUGUGCCUGCUUCCUGUACCUGCAGAAGUACACUGAGGAAUAGGACAGGCUUCAAAGAACAACAACAAAAAUAAUGACAAGAUUAUGUAAGAGAAAGUCUCUAUUUACACAGCUAUUAUAGGACUCAAAGCAACAGCUAAUUCUGGGGAAUCCUACAGCAUGCACUAUGCAUGGGUCAAGAUAGAAGUGCUGGAACAGCCUCUUACUACUGAUAUAUUUCAAAAGAUGUUUUUAUUUCUACACAUAGAAACUUGUAUACUUGGGCAAAGUACUGGAAGUGCUCAACUAUUAAAAAAAUAUCCACAGCGUGGACUUGCAAGAAGUGAAGAAGUUGUUCACAUCCAGUUUCUACAAGGGAAACUUGUAAGCAAUACAAAAACUGAGUUACUGUUGUUGCCUUUCCAGUGGCUCCCACAGUGAUGUUUGCCAUUUUUUUCUGGAGCAGGUGCAGAAAAGGAUGGUGAACUUUACCAUUCAAAUGAAGAUACUUCUGCGGUUUGUUUAAGGACAUUCUACAAAAGAUUCCUCCUAUUGAUUGAUCUUUCUUUUUGCAAAUUCACUGGAGUUUUUCUAAUAGCAUUACUCAGAAGAGUUCUCAGCCAAACUGAAUUACAAAGAACAAAUGGUUCCAGGGCCUCUAAGGAAUCUCUGCUCAGCAAGCUGGUGUGGUUUUAUUCCUUGGAAAAGGUUUUGUUAUUCUAUCAGGGAUUUUACUGCCUAAAACAAAACUGAUUAAAAAAAAGGGAAAGGAAAAUCCUAUCAUCAUGAGCUUCAAAAGCAGGAAAAAAAAUAUCUAUUUCUGAAGGUCUCAGGGAUUUUCUUUCAUACACAGACCUCAAGAAAAAUCAGCAUUCUUUCUUAUGCACGUUGCAAAUCUACCUACUGAACCAUGAAGUUUAGGACUCUCCAGCUUCAUAUUUCUCCUGUACUGCCUGACUUUAUUUUUAACACUUCUCCCACACUACUGGGAGAGUACUGCCCAGACUCCAACCAGCACCAAACCCGGAACUCAGUUCUGUUCUUCUUCAUCCAGUAUCCCACCCCACAGACUGUAUAAUGACCUGAAUCCCAGUAUAGUUACUACAGGAAUAGAAAACAUUUUUUCCUAAACAUCCUUUGUCUUUUGAUUUGGAUCAUUCAUAAGCACAUUUUAAGACCUAUCUUGUAUUCAACACCUUUUCAUUAUGAAUAACUAACAGUUAAAGAAUUCUUAAGACUAAGUAUUUUGUACUGAUUGGUGCAAUGCAAUCUGAGAUUUAUAUAUAUAUUUGGACAAAAAGCAGCACAUCACGAAAAAUACAAAGUACUAAAAGUAAAUGAAAUAUUAAUUAGAAAUCAAGUAUGUUAUUCUUGAUAAAAAUCUUUUUUUCACUACGUAGUGAAUAUGAAUGUAUGAAUAUGUAUGCAGUUCUCCACAUGAAAUAUAAUGUACAAUAUGUUUGUUCUGUACGUUCUUAUUGGGAAGCAAUAAUGAAGAUCAUGGAGAUAAAAGAAAUUCAAGAAAGAGAGAUAAAAGCCUGAUAUCACUGAAGUUAGUAGCAAAAACUCCUUUUUGAUUCAAAUAAGGUUAACUUUUACAUUUGUUAUACAAUAAUAUGUUUUUUCUGGAACAAUUGUUUUGUGGCAUAUCCAUCAUGCAGAGAAGCUCCAUUUUUAUUUUACUUAUUUCUUUUCAUAGUGUAAUACUGUAUUCUCUGUACCUUGGUGUAACAAAAAACUUAAUGUUUGACAGACUGAGCACUUCCUUUUUAAAUCACUGGUCAUCACUGACUUUGCUGUUCAUCUUACCUAAGAAUUAACUUUCUCUCUUUUAAGUGAAAAUUUGAUACUGAUAUUUAAAAUCCCACAUAUUCCUGUUUGGACUACCACUAUUUUUAGCUACAAAAAGCUGUUUGAUAUUCAUUUUUUUUUUAAUUCAAAUGGUAGAAUUCUCAACCUCAUCUUCAUUCAGGUCCCAGAAGUUACAGACCCCUUACAUUUGCAAAGUGAAUAUAAGAGAAAGUGAAUUACUGAUAUAGGAAAAAGCAGAAGGCUUAGAUGAAAAAAAUAACAUUCAAUGAGGUUCACAGACAGCUUGCCUCUUCUUUAUAUUAAGCCAUAUUUAUCUAUUCAUUUUCCCUGAGUUUUACUGUAUUUUGAUUAGUCCCUGAAGCACUGAAAAUAUAUGAAAGAUAUUGGUCCCAGCAUACAAAGUUAGACUCUAAUAAAAUAAUAAAAAAAAAACCAUAACAUACCGGGGACUGUUAAAAUUAUCAGAGAUAACAUUAAAUUAUUAAUACAAUAAUGAACCAUUAAUAAUGAAUGCAGG
ensembl:lncRNA